AUGUCUGAUCUAUUAUUUGAGUGUAUGUUUUCUGCAAGUCUGUGGCAAAAUGUUUGUAAAUGGUUCAGGAUAGACUCAACACUACAUAGAGAAGGAACAAUUCAUUUCUCUCAAUUUGAAGGAUUGGUUGGAGGCAGAAGGGAAAUGGCGUCUAAAGUCAGUGUGGUUUGGUUCACGUCCAUCUGGAGCAUAUGGAAAUCUAGGAUUGACAAACUGUUCCGCAACAAGGGGAUAGAUUCUGGAAAGCUACUCGAGGGUGUAAAAGAGUACUCUCAUAGGUGGUUGUCCACAAAAUCAAUCAACUUGAAAGUGAACAUAGCUCAAUGA